rnacentral:rRNA from 1 species
UAGGGCGGGACACGUGGUAUCCUGUCUGAAUAUGGGGGGACCAUCCUCCAAGGCUAAAUACUCCUGACUGACCGAUAGUGAACCAGUACCGUGAGGGAAAGGCGAAAAGAACCCCGGCGAGGGGAGUGAAAAAGAACCUGAAACCGUGUACGUACAAGCAGUGGGAGCACAGGUUUACCUGUGUGACUGCGUACCUUUUGUAUAAUGGGUCAGCGACUUAUAUUCUGUAGCAAGGUUAACCGAAUAGGGGAGCCGUAGGGAAACCGAGUCUUAACCGGGCGUUAAGUUGCAGGGUAUAGACCCGAAACCCGGUGAUCUAGCCAUGGGCAGGUUGAAGGUUGGGUAACACUAACUGGAGGACCGAACCGACUAAUGUUGAAAAAUUAGCGGAUGACCUGUGGCUGGGGGUGAAAGGCCAAUCAAACCGGGAGAUAGCUGGUUCUCCCCGAAAGCUAUUUAGGUAGCGCCUCGUGAAUUCAUCUCCGGGGGUAGAGCACUGUUUCGGCUAGGGGGCCAUCCCGGCUUACCAACCCGAUGCAAACUGCGAAUACCGGAGAAUGUUAUCACGGGAGACACACGGCGGGUGCUAACGUCCGUCGUGAAGAGGGAAACAACCCAGACCGCCAGCUAAGGUCCCAAAGUCAUGGUUAAGUGGGAAACGAUGUGGGAAGGCCCAGACAGCCAGGAUGUUGGCUUAGAAGCAGCCAUCAUUUAAAGAAAGCGUAAUAGCUCACUGGUCGAGUCGGCCUGCGCGGAAGAUGUAACGGGGCUAAACCAUGCACCGAAGCUGCGGCAGCGAACGUAUCACUUAAAGCGAUUCAGCGGGUUACGAUUGACGGAGCGAAGCGACGUCAAAGCGUAUACAAAGUCGAGUCGGUUUAAGGAUACGUUCGUUGGGUAGGGGAGCGUUCUGUAAGCCUGUGAAGGUGGCCUGUGAGGGUUGCUGGAGGUAUCAGAAGUGCGAAUGCUGACAUAAGUAACGAUAAAGCGGGUGAAAAGCCCGCUCGCCGGAAGACCAAGGGUUCCUGUCCAACGUUAAUCGGGGCAGGGUGAGUCGACCCCUAAGGCGAGGCCGAAAGGCGUAGUCGAUGGGAAACAGGUUAAUAUUCCUGUACUUGGUGUUACUGCGAAGGGGGGACGGAGAAGGCUAUGUUGGCCGGGCGACGGUUGUCCCGGUUUAAGCGUGUAGGCUGGUUUUCCAGGCAAAUCCGGAAAAUCAAG